CUGUCUGGGCGCUCCGCGGAGCAGCGCUCCCUCCGGAGCUGGAGGCAGAUGGUCGCUGGGGAGCCCCGUGCCAGGUCUGGGUGACAGGAGCGGAAAGGCAGGGACAGCCACAGCCGGAUGAGACACUUCUCUUCCUCCCUGGAUGUCACAGGCUGGAAACACCAGAGGCAGAACUCUCCAGAGCUCACCACCCUGUUUGCAGCCUCAUGGAUCAAUGCUCUCAGGAGGGAAGUGCAGCAUCCUGGCAGCCCAGCAGCCUCAAGCCCCUGUGCUGAUCCUCUGCUGAUGUUUGGGGGGUGUUUGUAAACAAUGCAGAGUUCUGGGCUGAAGAAGACAGAAGAGAGGAUAAUCUAAAGGCUUCUUGGUAGCUACUGCAAGCCUGUCUUUUGUCUCUUCUGUUCAGCCUGAGAAUAACGGCUGAAAUCUAACAUCUGGUGUAACUGUACAAACCUGACCUUAGGUCACAGUAAGUAUUGUAUUGUUGAUGAUGGAUACGCUUUUUUCAUUACCAUGCUGUCUCCAUUCUUUCAGCAUCCAUGCUGUGAAUCUCCAGUUAUAGCUGGGACUAUUGAUAAAUACUGAUUUUUAAAAUACAAUUCGCUUUUUUUUUUUUACACUUUUAAGCAUGCAUUGUACGGUAUUUUCUUUUUAAAUAGCUCUUCUAGUUUGUUGUCAACAAUAUGCUAUUAUUUGAACAAACUUUUCUGCAUGAUAGCUCUAACACACAAGGAUCAAGGAUUAUAUGUCUGAAGAUGCUGCUAUGAUCCUGAAAGAGCAGUGUCACAAGAAGGUGAUCCUCUGCCUCUAAUGCCUUCCCCUGUACUUUCCUCUUUGGAAAAUUGUUUCCUUAAAGCCCUUGCAGAACCAGGGUUUAAGGUUUAAAUUGGGAAGCAGAUGUGGACACCUGUGAAUGUGUCUUUGCACAUCACUGUUUCAAGGUUUCAGCCCCUGUGCAGGAAAUGAGGCCCUGCACUGUCCUGGGUGAUUGAUGUCCAUUAUUCCCCAGAGCUGGGGUAAUUCACCCUGGGUAGGGACUGGGCAGGAGCAGUUCUGGAACCAGUGCUCCCAGCAAGCCCAGGGAAGUACCAGUCAAGAGAAGACGUUGCCCUCAUGGCUGGGAGUUCUGGUCAGAUCUUAAAUUCAUAAAACCCACCAGAAGCUCCAACACUGAACUGGGAGAGUGAGGGCAAAUUUAAUGAUGAUUUCUAUUUGUUUCUUUUGCUGACUGUAUCUAUCCCCUGAACCUUUCCAUUUUUUCAGCUCUCCAAGAGCGUCACAAGACUCUUAGCACAAAGCUUGAAUUUUUUUUCACCCUAAAGCUGUGCAAACACAAACCUCUUUUCCAAUCCUUUGGGCAGCAGAUGCCCAGGCUCAUUCAGACUUGACUCUUUUGGAUGGAAAUCCUGACUGGGAUUGCUGAAUGUACUGUCAGCAAAAGAGGAAUGUGUCCUAUCCUAAUCCUGAGGUUGUAAUGCACAUGCUGUGUUCUUGCUGGGUGCUAAUAUUCCUUCAUGAUGUUACUGCAUCAUGCAGUGGAGAUAAAACAGAAUUUCCUUGGCUCAUCCUCGUGCUCCCUGAAAUCC